CUGACAGCGUGCCUCAGAAACCGUAUGACUUGAGGGCAGGAGAGGGGAGUGGAAUUCCCGGUGUAGCGGUGAUAUGCGUAGAUAUCGGGAGGAGCACCAGUGGCGAAGGCGGCUCCCUGGCCUGUUUCUGACGCUGAGGCGCGAAAGCGUGGGUAGCGAACGGGAUUAGAUACCCCGGUAGUCCACGCCGUAAACGAUGGGUGCUAGGUGUAGGAGGUAUCGACCCCUUCUGUGCCGUAGCUAACACAAUAAGCACC
rnacentral:rRNA from 1 species